CGACGCUGGCGGCAGGCUUACACAUGCAAGUCGAACGCCCCGCAAGGGGAGUGGCAGACGGGUGAGUAACGCGUGGGAACAUACCCUUUCCUGCGGAAUAGCUCUGGGAAACUGGAAUUAAUACCGCAUACGCCCUACGGGGGAAAGAUUUAUCGGGGAAGGAUUGGCCCGCGUUGGAUUAGCUAGUUGGUGGGGUAAAGGCCUACCAAGGCGACGAUCCAUAGCUGGUCUGAGAGGAUGAUCAGCCACAUUGGGACUGAGACACGGCCCAAACUCCUACGGGAGGCAGCAGUGGGGAAUAUUGGACAAUGGGCGCAAGCCUGAUCCAGCCAUGCCGCGUGAGUGAUGAAGGCCUUAGGGUUGUAAAGCUCUUUCACCGAUGAAGAUAAUGACGGUAGUCGGAGAAGAAGCCCCGGCUAACUUCGUGCCAGCAGCCGCGGUAAUACGAAGGGGGCUAGCGUUGUUCGGAAUUACUGGGCGUAAAGCGCACGUAGGCGGAUAUUUAAGUCAGGGGUGAAAUCCCGCAGCUCAACUGCGGAACUGCCUUUGAUACUGGGUAUCUUGAGUAUGGAAGAGGUAAGUGGAAUUCCGAGUGUAGAGGUGAAAUUCGUAGAUAUUCGGAGGAACACCAGUGGCGAAGCUGCUUACUGGUCCAUUACUGACGCUGAGGUGCGAAAGCGUGGGGAGCAACAUGAUAGAUACCCUGCUAGUCCACGCCGUAACGAUGAUGUUAGCGUCGGCAGUAUACUGUUCGGUGGCGCAGCUACGCAUUAACAUUCG
rnacentral:rRNA from 1 species